AUCGAACGCUGGCGGAAUGCUUUACACAUGCAAGUCGAACGGCAGCACGGACUUCGGUCUGGUGGCGAGUGGCGAACGGGUGAGUAAUGUAUCGGAACGUGCCCAGUCGUGGGGGAUAACGUAGUGAAAAUUACGCUAAUGCCGCAUACGAUCUAUGGAUGAAAGCGGGGGAUCGCAAGACCUCGCGCGAUUGGAGCGGCCGAUAUCAGAUUAGGUAGUUGGUGGGGUAAAGGCCCACCAAGCCAACGAUCUGUAGCUGGUCUGAGAGGACGACCAGCCACACUGGAACUGAGACACGGUCCAGACUCCUACGGGAGGCAGCAGUGGGGAAUUUUGGACAAUGGGCGAAAGCCUGAUCCAGCCAUUCCGCGUGCAGGAUGAAGGCCCUCGGGUUGUAAACUGCUUUUGUACAGAACGAAAAGGUUUCUACUAAUACUAGGAGCUCAUGACGGUACUGUAAGAAUAAGCACCGGCUAACUACGUGCCAGCCGCCGCGGUAA
rnacentral:rRNA from 1 species